GCUUUCGCCCGUGACGAAGCGUGAGUGACGGUAAUGGGUAAAGAAGCNNCNGNCUAACUACGUGCCAGCAGCCGCGGUGAUACGUAGGGUGCGAGCGUUGUCCGGAUUUAUUGGGCGUAAAGGGCUCGUAGGUGGUUGAUCGCGUCGGAAGUGUAAUCUUGGGGCUUAACCCUGAGCGUGCUUUCGAUACGGGUUGACUUGAGGAAGGUAGGGGAGAAUGGAAUUCCUGGUGGAGCGGUGGAAUGCGCAGAUAUCAGGAGGAACACCAGUGGCGAAGGCGGUUCUCUGGGCCUUUCCUGACGCUGAGGAGCGAAAGCGUGGGGAGCGAACAGGCUUAGAUACCCUGGUAGUCCACGCUGUAAACGGUGGGUACUAGGUGUGGGGUCCAUUCCACGGGUUCCGUGCCGUAGCUAACGCUUUAAGUACCCCGCCUGGGGAGUACGGCCGCAAGGCUAAAACUCAAAGGAAUUGACGGGGCCCGCACAAGCGGCGGAGCAUGCGGAUUAAUUCGAUGCAACGCGUAGAACCUUACCUGGGUUUGACAUGGAUCGGGAGUGCUCAGAGAUGGGUGUGCCUCUUUUGGGGUCGGUUCACAGGUGGUGCAUGGCUGUCGUCAGCUCGUGUCGUGAGAUGUUGGGUUAAGUCCCGCAACGAGCGCAACCCUUGUUCACUGUUGCCAGCACGUUAUGGUGGGGACUCAGUGGAGACCGCCGGGGUCAACUCGGAGGAAGGUGGGGAUGACGUCAAGUCAUCAUGCCCCUUAUGUCCAGGGCUUCACGCAUGCUACAAUGGCUGGUACAGAGAGUGGCGAGCCUGUGAGGGUGAGCGAAUCUCGGAAAGCCGGUCUCAGUUCGGAUUGGGGUCUGCAACUCGACCUCAUGAAGUCGGAGUCGCUAGUAAUCGCAGAUCAGCAACGCUGCGGUGAAUACGUUCCCGGGA
rnacentral:rRNA from 1 species